AGAGUUUGAUCCUGGCUCAGGAUGAACGCUGGCGGCAGGCUUAAUACAUGCAAGUCGAACGGUAAGGCCGAGUGCAGCAAUGCAUGAGGUACACGAGUGGCGCACGGGUGCGUAACGCGUAUGCAACCUGCCCCCAACCGGGACAAAACAGCUGGAAACGGCUGCUAAUAUCCCAUAGCCACGCGGGAGGGCAUCCUCCUGUGUGUAAAGAUUCAUUGGUUGGGGAUGGGCAUGCGUAUUAUUAGGUAGUUGGCGGGGUAACGGCCCACCAAGCCGACGAUGAUUAGGGGUCCUGAGAGGGUUAACCCCCACACUGGAACUGAGACACGGUCCAGACUCCUACGGGAGGCAGCAGUAGGGAAUAUUGGGCAAUGGGAGCAAUCCUGACCCAGCCAUGCCGCGUGAAGGAAGACGGCCCUAUGGGUUGUAAACUUCUUUUGCCGCAGAGUAAACCCGGGGACGUGUCCCCGGUUGAGAGUAUGCGGCGAAUAAGUAUCGGCUAACUCCGUGCC
rnacentral:rRNA from 1 species